rnacentral:lncRNA from 1 species
UUUGAAGCAAUCUGACUGAGCGUGUUCAAUAAGUUGAUUGAUCCCAUUUGAGGAAGUAUCUCCAUUGAGGUAAUUUUGGGGAUUAGGACUAGAACCAUAUCACUAAAGUUUGGUCAAAUAACUCCAUUAAAAGAAUCACCUAUUACUAUGCGUACAUCAUUUUUUAGAAAUAACUAGUGAAAUUGGUAAACAUAAGUGAGAGGUUGUCUAGCCCCUGCGCUCUUGCCAGUCAAAUUUAGAAUAGUGCAUUCUCAAUUUCUUCAUCCAUCACGUCCGUGUUCACCCUCUCCUCCAUAUCACUAGUCACACAGGGUCGGAUGUGAGCUAAGAUGUUGUCAGCAUCAACAGAGGCUUCUGAAGAAAACAACUAAGCAUAGAAAUCGGCCGAAAUCUUCCCCAUCUCAUUGUCAAUAGUACAACUCGUGCCAUCCGCCCUCAUGUUUUGAUCGUCUUCCUUGAGAAAUUCCAGUUGGGAACAUUGCAUACACAUUAUUUGUUCCUGUGCACGAACCACAUGAAGCUACGCUUCAAUCUCGCUGGUCUUCAGCAAGGAUGUCUGGAUCCCAAUGCGCUACCCUUUCCAUCGAAGCUGGACCUUGUGCCUAGUAAUCUCACAACAUACAAGACAAAAUAUAGAGCCACUUCAAUGUUUCAUAUCAUUGGUGACAUUGUUACGCUUCCUGUAGAGCUCACUCUGGCCGAAAUUGUUAUCACAUGCACACUAUCAUGCCUACAUGGGCAUCCACCUCUCCUCAAACGUUAAUGCCCUCUUCUUACUUUUGGUAAUGACUAGGUUUUCUAGCGAUCUAUUAACGAGCAAACCAUUGUCUGGUCCUCCAUGACAACAUGUUCAAUGGGUGUAUCCUACAAUGAAUGCACGAAUUCAUCAUUGCAUGGACCCCUGUCCACAUGUACAUAAACGAUCUCAUCCCGCUCCCUCUUAUUGUCCCAAGUGUACAUGUUGCUACUAAAACAAAGUUUUGAAACACUAUUAUUGGCUACACUCUCCCUAAUGCGCUCCAUUUGUGUGAAACUCCUCAAGUAAUCUCCUAGUUGUUGUGAUUAAAAGAAUUCUUUGUUGAGGUAUCAUUGUAACAGAUAAAUGUAUUAUUAGGAUCCAAUCUCUCGGAGCCUCCCUUAGCUACACAAAUUUUCAUCAAUCUCUCUUCCUAUCCAGUAGCUUUAGGUGAUAAUCAUUGUGACGCCUUUGGUGGUCACCUUCACGUUGCCUUGUCUUAUGAACAAAAGUGCCUCGUCUGCGUUGCUCUGAGGUAGAUGGGUCAUCUUUCCCAAUGGCCUUGCACCCUUUCCCAUAUAGAUUUUUUUAUGUCUUGCUUACUUUCAUGCUCCUUCCUCAGGUCCCACUUACUUUUUAGAUUUAAAUCAUCCCUUAGUUCACAAUCAUGUCACAUUUCUUGCCUGAAUUGGUCCUCCCUACACUUCAUCUUAGGCAGUUACCAUGUACAAGACCAUCUCGAGGAUCCUCGCUAGAGAGAGAGUCCACAGAGGGUGUAUAAUCAGUGUAUGACCUGCACGUAAAUGGACGGGCAUGCAACGCUACAUGACCCCUGCGCCAUAGACGCCCUUGCUUGACCUAGUGCUCCCAAAACUAAAGUUCCUGCUUUCUUUCACCGGCCUCUACUUAGUUUUUGUCUAUGAGGAGCCAUGUCCAAGUGAUGCCCUUAACCAUUCACCCAACUGGGGUGAGGAAUCAUUUUGUGGUUCAAAUCAUCUGUCAACAUGUGCUAGUCUGUCGUAGUCAAUCCAAAAGAGAGGUAUCUUCUCAAAUUGAAAAUCAAACAAGGUCCCCUCAUCUUUUGCUGAAGAGUGGAGAAAGAAGCCUUAGACUAGUGAAAGAAAUCUAUCUCUAAAUCUGAGAUGGUUCCCCCAUAAAUCCAUCGUUCUUAACAUCACUCUUUACCACGCCACCAAGACAAUUCCCAAGAGCAUUCCCAAAAGUAUAUGAUCAUUUAUAUAGGGGAGGAUCUGUAAUUAUCACCCAUGGCUCCGUCAUACAAAACAUUAUCUUCGAUGACCUGGUUUUUUCAUCAUAAUCCUUCAAAACUAUCACAUUAAAACCAAAUUGCCACAUUCAAUUAUAUAGAGCGUGCUUCUAGACUCCUUUGUUAUGGAAUCUAAAGAAGAAGAUACUAUUUCUAAUGUGACUUACUUGGACUUCCUAAUAGUGUCACAUGUAUGUUGCGUAGCCCUAGCAAACACGUUGAUGUUGAUUUGCUGGAGUGAGCAUGCCUUUCCAACCACUGACCACCGAGUAGGCCUCGGUCGGUCUGGAAUCCUGAUUCUCAAGCAUGAGAUCUAUUAGUUCCUUUUGUUGUUAACUUCAGGGCUCCUUGUUAAUUUGGUUGAGAGAUUAGCUGCCUCCCCUGAAGCAUUUCCAUCUGUCAGGGACUUUGAAGGUUCUCAUCUUAAUGAUCCUUGGUCGCCCUGUUCACUUGAGCUGUCGAUUUACGCCACGCCUUCUCUCCCAUAGUCGCGCAAAGGAGUGGAAGCACCAAGACCAAUCAAUGUAGGAGUAUAGAGUGUCAUCACCUCAUAGAUGAAUAGAAACCUAACCCUAGCACUACUUGUCGGUCGCCUAUAAUUGCCCUUAGCAUUUCUUUUCAUGUUGGGCCCGCCAUAAGGUAUUUAUACGUUCGCUUCCAUUGGUACUUUUUUUUGCACUGGAGCCUUUCUGCUACAUUUGCCUUUCUACGAAGGAUGUCUUAUCCAAAUCAUAUAGUCUCCUCUAUCUAUAGGAAGCGAGGACAUUAGCUCUUCUUUUUUUCAAGGCAAAUACACUUGCUAGUGUUCAAGCGACAUCGAAAGAAGUCUUGUCACAUGUGAAGACGACGCUAAGAGUGUGACACAUAUAGGUGCCAACUUGAAGAAUAAUGCAAAUUUCAGUAAAUAUGAAUAGCUCCUGGGGGAACGAGCGCAUAAAGGAAUCAGCCACCAUAAAUGGAUCAUUUCCAAAGAAACAAAGUCACAAAGAGAGAGACAAGACAUUAGCUUCUUUAUGGGGAACACAUAUAUUUAAAUGUUGCCUUGCUCUCUGAUUAUUAACAAGAAAUAAUUUUUACUAAUAUAUUAUGUGUAAAUCUUGAUAGAUAUGGAAUGUAUUUUGGUCAGUAUGUUUUAAGGAAUCAUAUUAGUUUUUGGUAUGUAGAAAUUAAAAGAAGUUCAUGUGCCUUCAAGGCAUGUCAAGGUGUGUUGUUCCACCUCAAAAUUGGUUCAGACUAAAUGGUUAUUCUCCCUACAUAUAGCCCCAAUUCUCAUGCUCUCUCUCUCUCUCUAUUUUAUAUUCCAGACUACUCCAUAAAGCCUAACUGGUGAAGGUCCAGAAACACCCAGCAGUGACGGGUUCAACUCCCAUUAGUAGUCGAUACUUAGUGGAGGAGAAACAAGCCACUUACAGGCACGAGCCCGCCAAUGGUGAAUAAAUCAGAAAAGAAAAUCAGGCCAUGGCCAGUCCAAAUCCAGCAUCUGCCAACAAUGUGUAGUCUCCACUACUCGAACCUACUUUUCCUCAGUGCGUGACAUCAUGUGAUGUUUGGAGAAUCCAUAGAGUUGGGGAUCCGAAUAUAAAAAACAACAAUGGGGAGUGUCUUGAAGAAUAGGAGCCAAGAAGCCGGACGGAGAAGGCCUCCACCAUACUGCACCAUUGGCCAAUACUGACCCGUAUGGUGCAAGGACAAAGGCAGAACUGAACACCGUCAUCAUCUAGGUUGCAAAGGAAGUUGGACCACUGUGUUGCUUCUCUCGAACAAACUCAAUGAUUUCAUGCAGUUGGCACCCAUGCCACAUUCCAUAGAGAUAACAACAUUGAGGAGGAGGAGGGACAACGCAAGGUUUCUUCCUCAUAGGAAUUAGUUUCGAGGAAGUGGGGGGACGAUAUGGCAUGAUGAGCAGUUAACAAGGGAAGUUUGCAUGACUGUGGAGGACAAAGCAUUAAGACAAGUGUGCUAGUAGCUAGAUAAGGGAUGAAUGAUAGCAGGAAGGAAUAAUGAGCUUACUGGGUGAGGCUACUAUUUUUUAAGUUGCGACCUACUGAUCAUAACAACAAUUGAUCGUAACAACAUACCAUUGAUGAUUUAGGGUAUUGAUUUAGUAACUGUUAGGAUGUGACUACGGCUUGUAAGUGGUGGGUUGUAUAUUACUAACAAGUAGCAUGUUUAGCCUCAAUAUUGUCCUCUGUCACUCGUAACAACGUGCCAUUGACGGACCACAUAUUGGGCCCGUCACUACUACCUUUUUCAAACAAAAAUAGAAUUUUAGUUAUAGUCAGAUUCACAACAAUCCCGCCGGUCAUUAGUGUUAAGUAGCAUUGCUGACCGGUUUUUUGAACCACCACUUUUGAUCGAUAACUAGGCGAGAACUCUAGUGUAGUGCACAUUUGUUUGGUUCAGAAUUUUUAGUGUUUUUAUGUGCACAAAGACAUAUCGUUCAACCCUAACAUGUUCUCUUUAGGUGGGGUCGAGAGUGAAGGACUGGGGAGCUUGGAAGCAGGGGAAAUGGCACCUCGAGGGGUUCAGGUCUCCAUGAUCAAUAACCACAAUUUUGAUCUGAAUGAGCUGCCGACUGAGCAUGAGUAGCUCAAGAAGGAGUAGUCACCCGUGGAGCAAGAGUAGCCCCCUAUGGCACAACAUGAGCUUUAAUAUUCACAAUGGUUGGAGGCUACUCAAAUCCCGCUUGUGUGAGCAAAAAUAACUCUUGGCCCAAAGUAUAGCCCUGUCAGAAAUUAUCGAAACAAUAUCCUUAUCCCAAGGACGAUUGUAAAGCUUAUGUGGAACUUUUCAAUUUCUUGCUUCCUAUUUUUUGGUGAUUGACUGACGCUAUUGCUAAACUUGAGGGAAGGACUUGGUAUACUGCCUCAUGAUCAACGUGUCACCUGGAAUGGCUUUUCUAUUCAUUUCCCAUGAUGGUUUUGAUAUGUAGAUUGUUUGAACAAGCAUUUAUUCAUUCGGUAAAGCUUUGUGAAACAUCAACGGUGGAGCUAGGUCUCUCGUCAUGUGAAAUGAUAGUAGGUCAAGAAGUGUGUUG